rnacentral:rRNA from 1 species
CGAGCGCAACCCUUAUCCUUUGUUGCCAGCGAUUAGGUCGGGAACUCAAAGGAGACUGCCAGUGAUAAACUGGAGGAAGGUGGGGAUGACGUCAAGUCAUCAUGGCCCUUACGACCAGGGCUACACACGUGCUACAAUGGCGCAUACAAAGAGAAGCGACCUCGCGAGAGCAAGCGGACCUCAUAAAGUGCGUCGUAGUCCGGAUUGGAGUCUGCAACUCGACUCCAUGAAGUCGGAAUCGCUAGUAAUCGUGGAUCAGAAUGCCACGGUGAAUACGUUCCCGGGCCUUGUACACACCGCCCGUCACACCAUGGGAGUGGGUUGCAAAAGAAGUAGGUAGCUUAACCUUCGGGAGGGCGCUUACCACUUUGUGAUUCAUGACUGGGGUGAAGUCGUAACAAGGUAACCGUAGGGGAACCUGCGGUUGGAUCACCUCCUUA